AUUGAACGCUGGCGGCAGGCCUAACACAUGCAAGUCGAGCGGAGUUGCGAACGGGUGAGUAACGCGUAGGUAACUACCUAUUAGAGGGGGAUAACUAUUGGAAACGAUAGCUAAUACCGCAUACUAGUAGAUGGACCUGCGUUGUAUUAGCUAGUAGGUAGGGUAAUGGCCUACCUAGGCAACGAAACAUAGCCGGCCUGAGAGGGUGAUCGGCCACACUGGGACUGGGACACGGCCCAGACUCCUACGGGAGGCAGCCGUAGGGAAUCUUCGGCAAUGGGGGGAACCCUGACCGAGCAACGCCGCGUGAGUGAGGAAGGUUUUCGGGUCGUAAAGCUCUGUUGUUAAGGAAGCGGUACUUGACCAGAAAGGGACGGCUAACUACGUGCCAGCAGCCGCGGUAAUAC
rnacentral:rRNA from 1 species